ensembl:lncRNA
GGAAAGGAUGAGAAGAGAAAAUGCUAAGUUUCUGAAAUGUAGGCAAUGGUAACCCACUCCAGUAUUUAUGCCUGGAAAAUUCCAGAGACGGCUGGGGCUGGCAGGUUACAGUCCAUGGAGUCUCACAGUCCACGCGACCGUGCACGCUGCACACACCGUGCACGCUGCACACACCGUAUGCAGGCACACCAGGAUGUGUUUAGGACCUAAAGAGGAAACUGUCUGCCUCUCCACCCCAACUUCCCCUCUAGGCAGGAAAACGUUCUAAAUCCUGGGUGAAGGAUUUAGAACGUUCUAAAUCCAUCAGAGGGUGAAGCUUCUCUUGAGGCUGUUUCCCAUUCUCUUUGGAGGGAGUCCAGGUUAAGUCUGGGAACCCUGCCACAGCCACCGGAACAAAGCGAGGAGCCUGGGUUUCUCUGAGGAGCUCUCGUCUUCAGGAGGAUUUCCAGAAGCCAAAACGUCAGUCCUUUCUCAGGUUUAGGCAAAAAAACGAGGCUGCGGGUCCCACAGCUUAGCUUCUGGCGGCAUCUGGGAGUGGGCGCAGCGCGCCUAGGACCUUGUGAGCCCCACCAGCUGGUCCCUUCGAGGAUGGCUCCCGAGCCGGCCCGGGAGGAGCAAGGACGAGGGUGUGUGUGUUGGGGGCGGGGGGUGCUCGACGGCCGCGUUCCAGCAAACCUUUCCCCCUCCGCGAGGGCCUGGGGCCGCCUUGCGCAGGCAGCCCGCACCUGCCGCGCCCCGCUCGCGGGCCCUCCAGGGCCUUGCCUGGCUGCGCCCAUCCUCAGGCCCGCCCUCCGCGCAGGCCCGGCCCGGGCCUCCCCGGACCUCGCCCAGUCUUCGGCUCCGACUCCUGGCGCAGGGCCAGGACGGCCGAGCAGCACAGUUUUCCCCUCCUUCCACCGCGAGAAGUUCCUGGCGGCGCGACUACACUCUAAGCUUCCCCGUCCGCAGGUGCGCGCGCUCACCCGCAGUCCGAACCUCCCUCGUGGUCCAGCAGGAGGCGAGCUGGAUGGGGAACUGAUGGCAGAGGAGACCAAGGAGACAGGUGCAGAGUGGAUGCACCCUGGACUAGGAAAGGAGCAGUAAGGAGGAAGUAGAGCUGAGGUCAGACCUUCAGGAUGCAGCGCCUACAGGACUUCACGUGGAUCCAGGCCGAAGUCUUCGGAUGACCUCCAGGGGCACUGAAAAUCUGUCCCUGGUUUGUCUUUGCUCCGGUCUCCACUAGUCGCCCCUACGGCAACCAUCCAGGGACCUCGACGCUUCCCAGGGACAUACAUUCUGACACCAGAGAGCCUGUGCUCACUUCCCCUUUGCCUAGACUGCCUUUUCCCCUGCUUCCCCCACACUUCAAAGGCCAGCUCAGAAGUCACACUUGCCCGUUCCCUAUUAUCCAAGCACUCAUAAAGCCCUCUGUGAACUCAUUUUGGCUCUCACACACCCAACUGUGGCUUGUUCCUAUUCCUAAAUACCCAGCACAACAACGUGAAAUUUGCAAAAUCAAUGAAUACUGUUUUUUUGGGGAGGGGGUUGCUAUUCGCAGGAUUUGUGGGGUCUCAAAUGGUGACCAGGGAUUGAACCUGGGCCGUGGCAGUCAAAGUCUGGAAUGCUAACCACUAGGCCACCACGGAACUCCCUCAAUGAAUACUUUUGAAAAGAAUAUGACUGCAGGUCAUAUAUUCUGAGACUUUAUGAACACUGGGGUAAAAACGGAUGUUAAUGCCAUGAACUUGAGAGCUAUCCAGUAUGCUCAUCUGACAUUCCCCCUCAACUUCUUCCACCAUCCAUUCUACCCUAGGGAUUGAAAGAUGUCUCAACAAAUGCUAAUUUGUAAAUAACAAAAAUGUUAAUAAGAUAUAAAACUGUAUUUACAAUGUAACUUACCUAUUUUAAAGAUACAUGUAAUAUACCAAAGUGUUGAGAGUCCAUCAUUAGUCAAUAAAAUUUGAGUGCUUUUAUCUUUUUUAUGUUGUCUUUUAUAAUUGGCAUGUUAC